AACCUGGUUGAUCCUGCCAGUAGUCAUAUGCUUGUCUCAAAGACUAAGCCAUGCAUGUCUAAGUAUAAGUAUUAUACAGCGAAACUGCGAAUGGCUCAUUAAAACAGUUAUAAUUUAUUUGAUAAUCGAAUUUACAUGGAUAACCGUGGUAAUUCUAGGGCUAAUACAUGCUGGUAGGCCCGACUUUUUGGAAGGGCGGUAUUUAUUAGAUAACAAACCAAUAUUCCUCUGGUCUAUUGUGGUGAAUCAUAAUAACUGAUCGAAUCGCAAGGUUUUUAACCGCGAUAAGUCAUUCAAGUUUCUGCCCCAUCAGCUUUCGAUGGUAGUGUAUUGGACUACCAUGGCUUUUACGGGUAACGGAGGAUUAGGGUUCGAUUCCGG
rnacentral:rRNA from 1 species